GGGUCGGUGGUUCAAUAGUAGAAUCCGCACCUGCCACGCGGACGGUCCGGGUUCAAUUCCCGGCCGAUGUA
rnacentral:tRNA from 1 species